rnacentral:rRNA from 1 species
GACGAACGCUGGCGGCGUGCCUAAUACAUGCAAGUAGAACGCUGAAGAGAGGAGCUUGCUCUUCUUGGAUGAGUUGCGAACGGGUGAGUAACGCGUAGGUAACCUGCCUUGUAGCGGGGGAUAACUAUUGGAAACGAUAGCUAAUACCGCAUAACAAUGGAUGACACAUGUCAUUUAUUUGAAAGGGGCAAUUGCUCCACUACAAGAUGGACCUGCGUUGUAUUAGCUAGUAGGUGAGGUAAUGGCUCACCUAGGCGACGAUACAUAGCCGACCUGAGAGGGUGAUCGGCCACACUGGGACUGAGACACGGCCCAGACUCCUACGGGAGGCAGCAGUAGGGAAUCUUCGGCAAUGGGGGCAACCCUGACCGAGCAACGCCGCGUGAGUGAAGAAGGUUUUCGGAUCGUAAAGCUCUGUUGUAAGUCAAGAACGGGUGUGAGAGUGGAAAGUUCACACUGUGACGGUAGCUUACCAGAAAGGGACGGCUAACUACGUGCCAGCAGCCGCGGUAAUACGUAGGUCCCGAGCGUUGUCCGGAUUUAUUGGGCGUAAAGCGAGCGCAGGCGGUUUGAUAAGUCUGAAGUUAAAGGCUGUGGCUCAACCAUAGUUCGCUUUGGAAACUGUCAAACUUGAGUGCAGAAGGGGAGAGUGGAAUUCCAUGUGUAGCGGUGAAAUGCGUAGAUAUAUGGAGGAACACCGGUGGCGAAAGCGGCUCUCUGGUCUGUAACUGACGCUGAGGCUCGAAAGCGUGGGGAGCGAACAGGAUUAGAUACCCUGGUAGUCCACGCCGUAAACGAUGAGUGCUAGGUGUUGGAUCCUUUCCGGGAUUCAGUGCCGCAGCUAACGCAUUAAGCACUCCGCCUGGGGAGUACGACCGCAAGGUUGAAACUCAAAGGAAUUGACGGGGGCCCGCACAAGCGGUGGAGCAUGUGGUUUAAUUCGAAGCAACGCGAAGAACCUUACCAGGUCUUGACAUCCCGAUGCUAUUUCUAGAGAUAGAAAGUUACUUCGGUACAUCGGUGACAGGUGGUGCAUGGUUGUCGUCAGCUCGUGUCGUGAGAUGUUGGGUUAAGUCCCGCAACGAGCGCAACCCCUAUUGUUAGUUGCCAUCAUUCAGUUGGGCACUCUAGCGAGACUGCCGGUAAUAAACCGGAGGAAGGUGGGGAUGACGUCAAAUUAUCAUGCCCCUUAUGACCUGGGCUACACACGUGCUACAAUGGUUGGUACAACGAGUUGCGAGUCGGUGACGGCGAGCUAAUCUCUUAAAGCCAAUCUCAGUUCGGAUUGUAGGCUGCAACUCGCCUACAUGAAGUCGGAAUCGCUAGUAAUCGCGGAUCAGCACGCCGCGGUGAAUACGUUCCCGGGCCU